GUCCUUGUAGCUCAAAUGGCUAGAGCAGUGCACGAGUUUAGUUUCUAAGCAACAGUUCCAGGUUCGAAUCCUGGCAAGUACG